GGCCUCGUAGCUCAGCCGGUAGAGCUAUUGCCACGUUGAGGCAUAGUGUUCCUGUCGCUGGUUCGAAUCGAGCCGAAGCCC